AAGUCGUAACAAGGUUUCCGUAGGUGAACCUGCGGAAGGAUCAUUAACGAAUAAACUUGGUGGAUUGUAGCUGGCUCCCUAGGGAGCAUGUGCACGUCUGUCAUCUUUAUCUUUCCACCUGUGCACUUUUUGUAGACCUGGAGAAAACCCACUUCUGAGCUAGCUCAGGCAUGAGGAGUUGUAGGCUUUUUGCAAGUCAGCUCUCCUUGAGUAUCCAGGCCUAUGUUUUUUCACAUACACCAAUGAAAUGUAACAGAACGUAGUCAAUGGGUCUUUGUACCUAUAACAAAAAAUAUACAACUUUCAGCAACGGAUCUCUUGGCUCUC
rnacentral:misc_RNA from 1 species